GCUGCGGCCACUGCGCGGAACGACGCUGCGGCACCCGCUCCAGACAUGCUGCUGCUGAAGAAACACACGGAGGACAUCAGCAGCGUCUACGAGAUCCGUGAGAGGCUCGGAUCGUGAGUGUGCGCGCGCGUGUGUGUAUGUGUGUGUGUGUGUACCUGUGUGAGAUGGCAUGUGUGUGUGACUACUCGAGUGGGUGUGAGAUGAUGUGUGUGUGUGUGUGAAUAUGUAGGGGUGUGUGAAUGUGAGUGAGUCUGUGAGAUGGCAUGUGUGAGUGGUGGUGGGGGGUGGCACAGGGCCAGGUAGGGCCUCCCCAUCUCCUUCACAGGGGGCCCUCCCCACUCCACUCUCUCUCCCUCCUGCCUCUCCUCUCUUCCCACUUCCUUCCCACCUCCCACCGCCCCGUCUGCGGCAGGGGUGCCUUCUCCGAGGUGGUGCUGGCCCAGGAGCGGGGCUCCGCACACCUCGUGGCCCUCAAGUGCAUCCCCAAGAAGGCCCUCCGGGGCAAGGAGGCCCUGGUGGAGAAUGAGAUCGCAGUGCUCCGUAGGAUCAGUCACCCCAACAUCGUCGCUCUGGAGGAUGUCCACGAGAGCCCUUCCCACCUCUACCUGGCCAUGGAACUGGUGACGGGUGGCGAGCUGUUUGACCGCAUCAUGGAGCGCGGCUCCUACACAGAGAAGGAUGCCAGCCAUCUGGUGGGUCAGGUCCUUGGCGCCGUCUCCUACCUGCACAGCCUGGGGAUCGUGCACCGGGACCUCAAGCCCGAAAACCUCCUGUAUGCCACGCCCUUUGAGGACUCGAAGAUCAUGGUCUCUGACUUUGGACUCUCCAAAAUCCAGGCUGGCAACAUGCUAGGCACCGCCUGUGGGACCCCUGGAUAUGUGGGUGAGGGACGACACCCUGAGGCUUGCUGGGAGUGGGGUGGCCUGGGGGACCCUAGACAGCCGGGAAGGCUGUUGUGCCCGUUGCCUUUGUGUGGGCCAUUCCUGGGCUUGAGUAGGCCGAGCCAGUGACACUGAGCGGCAUGGCUGCGUGUGUGCCUGUGCGUGCGUCUGUCUGUCUCUGGCCCCCAGCCCCAGAGCUCUUGGAGCAGAAACCCUACGGGAAGGCCGUAGAUGUGUGGGCCCUGGGCGUCAUCUCCUACAUCCUGUGAGUGACUGCUGGGAAGGCUUGUCUCCUGCCUGCCUGCCCCUGC
rnacentral:sRNA from 1 species